GCUACAGCGGAAGUCUAACAUAGGAAUUUAUCGCUAGCCUCAGCUCCGUCCCGUCAGCACCGGCCAGCCAACCUGAAAACAUUUGAAAGUAUUUUUGGGCUAAGUACUAAUGUACUUAGUGGGCAUGCAUUUUCUGAAACAUUUCAUAUUUUAAUAAAGACAGUUUAUCCAAUUAUACUUGACAUGACUUAGAAGGUUUUAAAUUGAAAGAACUUCUAAGCAUGUUAAAACAUUUUUCAUUUGUGCGCACAUGUCACACUCCCUUUCUGUUACUCGCUGUGAUCCCGGACCUCUAGCCACCGACGGAUCUCUGUCUCCCGCUGACUUGAACUGAGGGCGUAACCCAGACAAGUUUACUUUGACCUCGGGACGCUACCCAGGCAGGCCUGAUAUUUCUCAUGCUCCGGAACACAUCCAGCCGAGCACCCUUAUAACGCCUCUGGUUAGAGCCCGAUGGAGAUCAACCCACCGAGUCAACUAACAAGUGUACACAAUUCUCAAACAACGUAUUAGGUCAUAAGAGAACCUCAAUUGAUUAACUGUGCGAGCCUUAAACAGAGCAGAGUGCACAUAAACAUUUUAUUGGAUAAACAGUUUUCAUUACAUUAAAUAAACAAUUUGCAUUUCAUUGAAACAUUUAGAGCUUAAUAACUCAAUCAUACUUUGUACAUUUGGAAAGUAAGCCCACCUGUAUAGGCAAAGCCUGUCGUUUAACCUUAUCUCUGAUUCGGAAUAGCAGUGCUAAUCCUUCUGAUGCUCAAAGCCUACAAGAAAUCUAUUCUCAAUAGGUCUCCUUGAAUCUAAUCUUAAGUCAUGGUGUAGUGCUUAAUAUUCUAUGAUUCACUUAGCCGGGUUUUCAAAAUUUAAUGAAUAAAUAAUUGAAAACAUUUCUCUUGAGUUAAGAACACCAACAAUAUUCUUACUCGACUUUCUUUAAUAAUUGGAAUUAUAAUGAAAACCAAUUUAAAUCAUGAGUACUUUUAUUUGCAAAAAUGCAUAUACAAAUGCAUGUCAUGCUUAGCAUAUAAUAAGUAAUCACUUAAAAUAUGCACAUAAUAAUAAUAUAAUAUUAUUAUGCAAAUCUUCUUUAAAAUAAUUAAUCAAACUAAUUAAGUCUAAUUAAUUAAAUUAUGGGCUACCCAAAAUAAUUAAAUGUAAAGGCCAACUUCUUAAAAAUUCGCAGCCCACAAAAAUAAAUAAACAAAGGCCCGAAUACUUUAAAUAAAAUCGGCCCAUAGCCAAAGCCCAACACCCCCAAGCCCCCAACCCUAUUACUAUUCUCCCUCUCCCCAAAUCACACGCACACACUCAGACACACAAAGCGGCGCAGCAGCACCCUCUUCCCCCCCCUCUCUUCUUUUCCGGGCAGCGGUAGCAGCGCCGCCUCCACCGCCCGACCGCCGUCGCCCCUCUUGCUUCUCAACCCCCUCCCAUGUCUCUCUCUUUCUCCCUCACGACUGCUCGCCUCUCUCCCUCGCAACUGCUCGGACUUCACGGCCGCUGGAGCUCGCCGGAGCAAGCGGCGACAGGCUCCAGCUCCCUUCUCUCUUCCGAAUCAGUCCGGCGACCACAGGACAGCCAUGGCCGCCGCCGUUCUAAGAUCCAGAGCAACGGCAGCAAAGCCGCCGCCUCGGAUCCCCUCCCCCUUUUCACUCUUCGCCCUUGGCCGAACAGCAGCGGCGAGUUGCCGCCGUGCCGUGCUCUACCUCCCUCCAUCUAUCGACUCUCACAGCCAACAAACACACCAAAGGACUCGACACAGCAAGGUUCAAAAUCAGGGGAAAACAAAGCUUCAAGACUUCUCUUUUAUCAAGUCGAUUCUUUCAUAUGUACAAACAUAAGUCUUUUCUUUAAAUCAGUAAAUAAAUUUUGUUAUACAUACUGAAAACUUGGUUCAAUUGAUUAUGCGGAUACACACAUAUUUAUAUAUAUACACAGAAUAGAUGUAUGCGUAUGUGCAUUUCUUUGUCUGUGCAGCUGAGUUUUUCAGAAUGUGGAACACAAAAAUAAAGGCUUUAAUCUCUGUUAAAAAAAAUAAUAGGAUAAGCAAGGAGUUCAAGAUAAAACCUUGUGAGUUGUGAGUUCUUGAAUGGUGGAUGAUUCUGUUCUUGAACCUUUCUUGCGAGAAUGGGGUGAGUGAAAUUGUGGGAGAGGUGGCGAAUAAUGCAAGAAUAGAUUUGCUGUUAUGUAGUUCAGUUUGGAGUGGAGUUGGUGGCUGCCAACUGCCAAGUAUGGCUUAAAGCUUAAAGCAAGGGAAUUUGAUUGCCUGUAAAGGCAUGGCUUGAAAUUACUUAUUGAUGAAUGAGGUGUCUUUGCAGAGAAAGGUAUAAAGUUGUGGCAUAGGGUGGCUGAUGGGAGAUAUAGGGUGUAGGUGUUUUGACAAUUAAAAAGUCUUCAGGGUUGUAUUAUGAAAACUGUAAUAAUCCUUCAGUGUUUGCUAAAUAUAUGGCUCGUGAAAAUACUCAAAUGCUCAAUUUAAAUAAAUAUGCGAUGCAUAAGAAUUUAAAUAACAUAAACUUUCAAAAUUCAUUUUUGUUGGAAUUAAAGUAAAUUCAUUUUCUUUUAUCCGGCGUGAAUCAUCUUAAUUUCUAAGUUUAAAAUUUACUCUAAAUUUAGCUAGGGAAAUGCGGGGCGUUACAUCCCUCCCUCCUUAUAAAAAUUCCGUCCUCGGAAUUGCAUAUCUGGUGGUAUUCUAGCUUGUGAUACUAGUCAUUCGUUUCAUUCAUCACUUUUGUGGCCCUUUCCAUCCUGUGAUGGUUCCACUACAUGACGAGAACAAAAUUAUUGUCACGUAAAACUUGAACCUUGCGAUCAAGUAUCUGGACUGGUUUCUCUUCAUAACUUUAGUCCUAGCUAGGACUACUUUAUUUGGCUUAAUCAAAUGCUUUGGAUUAAACACAUACUUUCUUAACUGAGAGACAUGAAACACAUUGUGCAUGUCUCCAAUACUGGGCGGCAAUGCCAACCUAUAGGCUACAGGGCCUAUCUUAUCUAGGAUCUCAAAAGGUCCUAUAUAACAGGGUCGUAACUUGCCCCUCUUUCUGAAAUGUAUAACUCCCUUUGAAGGAGAAACUUUGAGGAAAACUCGAUCCCCAACAUUUAAUUCUAACUCCGAUCGGCGUUUAUCGGCGUAAGACUUUUGUCUAUCUUGAGCUUCUUUGAUUCUUUGCUUGAUGUGGUCGACCUUCUCAACCAUCUGUUGGACCAGUUCAGGACCUAACAGCUUUCUUUCACCCACUUCAUCUUAGUAAAGUGGUGAACUACAUUUUCGGCCAUACAAGACCUCAUCUGGAUUAUUCCAAAUGUUGCUUGAUAACUGUUGUUAUAAGCAAAUUCUUCGAGAGGUAACAAAUUCUCCUAACUUCUACCUUUGUCUGCGAUAAUUGUUCGCAACGAAAAUUUUAGAAUCUGAAUCGUUCUUUCUGACUGUCCGUCAGUCUGAGGAUGGUACGUUGUGCUGAAGUUCAGCUGAGUGCCUAUUGCUUCUUGUAAACUUUUCCAGAAACGUGAGGUGAAUCUGGUGUCACGAUCUGACGUGAUAGAUACAGGUACACCGUGAAGGCGUACUAUCUCUUUGACAUAUAACUUUGCAAGUUUCUCCAAUCCAAAUGUCAUUUGAAUUGGUAGAAAGUGCGCUGACUUUGAUAAUCGGUCUACUAUGACGCUAUAUCUCUUUUCAUUCUUGUUCACCAGAAAAUUUUCUUUAAAUUCUGGUGCAUCUUUGUGCUGCCUGGAUGUGCAGUGUAAGGAGUAUCAUGAGCCUCGCUCAUAAUCUCGUUCAUUAAUUCUUCUUAUUGUGGGCCACACAAUCUUUCACCAACCAUAAGUGCAUUAUCCUUUGCUUCAGUGAAUCCUUUCGUUUUAUUCGUUCUUGCAGCGAGACGCAUCUUCUCCAAGAACCAAUCUUCUUUUUUUGUGCUUGCACAAUUCUUUCUCUCAAAUCAGGUUUAGUUGUCAGCGCAGCUACACAACCCGAUACUGAAUCUAGGGGAUAAACAAUCUCAUGACGCGAUUCAUUUAAGAACUUCUUUACGCAUUUUCUCAUUAUUGUCCACCAUGUGGACCACAUAUUGACAGCUGGUUGAAAACUAAUGACAAACUGAGUAAUUCUAAUCGCUACUAUACUUAUCGUGAUAAAAGGAUAUUCUAUUGUGACAACUAUAUAGUGCGAGUCUCUAUAUAUUGUGAUGAUGCUCUACCUCGAGAUUAAAAAUCUUAAUUGACAAUCACCGAGAUCUUAGUCAUGUGGGCUGGCCAGACCCCAAACAAAACAAUCACUCAGUCAAAUGGAAGUUCGCCCCCAAUCAUGUCAAUUUCUAAUUCAUGUAAGGCUCUGGUCAAACUUCUAACUUAAAACACUUACUAAUAAGUACUUCAUCAUAAGUUACUGAUACUAUGAAAGUCCAUUCUAUGUCGUUCUAGCCAAGCUAUCACGACUAACAUCAUAAUCAUAAGCAACAUAAGUUCUUAUGUGAAAAACUUAAUCUCACUGCUAUUGAAAUAGCUCAAGUGAAUCCUUAGUCUUAAGGCAAUGCCUCUAUGUUGUAACAUCUCUAUGUUAAACAUUUCUAUCUUACCAGUCUUUACUUAAAUCGAUCAAGCGGUGCUAUCACGAUUAACAUUCUCAAAUCAUUCUUGGGUGGUACUCAAACAGUUUGUAAGAUGAUCCACCAUUCUAAUCGUAUAGGCAGCUAGCCUAAAACGACAACAUAAAGCUUUAUUAUUCGUUCAUUCUCUUUGAAACUUGAAACAUGUUGACAUUAAAUGCCACAUGAAACUUUUCUAUUGCCGGGAAGAUUCAAAGAAUCUAACUCGACCAUUCAUCUGGUAUUCGUGAAAGGCUCAAUAGUCCUAAACACGACUUUAACUCAUCUUAUCGUUAAGGGCUCGGGUAGUCCCAAACACGAUACUUACUUAUCUUAUCGUUAAGGGCUCGGAUUGUCCCAAACACGAUACUGAGCUUGGUUAUAUGAGUCGGAGACCCAAGAUAACAAUAUGAAAGCGAUUAGCAAUUUAUAACUUAUAACAUAUGGAAAGCGAUAAGCAAUUCACAUAGCAUCAUUCAUUGAAGCGCACAUUUUUUUCUUGGAAACAUUUAUAACAUCUGAAAUACAUAUACGUAUAUUUUUGAAACUAUUAUCGUACCUUUGUUGCGGCAGCGUGACGGCGAGCUGAGGGCUACUGACAUUUUUAGAAGUCUAGAGAUACUAUUCUAGACUCGACAUCAAAAGCUUAUGGUUAUCAGAAACAUGAAAGAAAACUCAUGCUCUGAUACCAUUCUGUCACACCCCAAUUCUUGAAUAAUAAAUAUAAUCGAGGUGCAACUAAUUAAUAGAAAUAAACAAGGAACAACCUUAGUAAAAACCGAAAUAGGAUAGAAAGUCGGGCUAUGCCCCUUUGGAUCACAAGUUUUGUUUCAUGCUUCUAACAACCGACAUUCAUUGGCAUAAAUUAAGUAGUGAAGAGUCUAAGCUCGGUCAGGUAUAUCAUUUGAAAUUUAACAUGAAGAUCUUAAGUUGGGAAAACAAAAGACUGAUAUGAGUAAUUGCUACAGCGGAAGUCUAUCAUAGGAAUUUAUCGCUAGCCUCAGCUCCGUCCCGUCAGCACCGGCCAGCCAACCUGAAAACAUUUGAAAGUAUUUUUGGGCUAAGUACUAAUGUACUUAGUGGGCAUGCAUUUUCUGAAACAUCUCAUAUUUUAAUAAAGACAGUUUAUCCAAUCAUACUUGACAUGACUUAGAAGGUUUUAAAUUGAAAGAAGUACUUCUAAGCAUGUUAAAACAUUUUUCUUUCAUUUGUGCGCACAUGUCACACUCCCUUUCUGUUACUCGCUGUGAUCCCGGACCUCUACGCCACCGACGGAUCCAUUUCUCCCGCUGCACUUGCCCUGAGGACGUAACUCAGACAAGUUGAAUUGACCUCGGGACGCUACCCAGGCAGGCCUUACAUGAUACAUGCUCCGGAACACAUCCAGCCGAGCACCCUUAUAACGCCUCUGGUUAGAGCCCGAUGGAGAUCAACCCACCGAGUCAACUAACAAGUGUACACAAUUCUCAAACAACGUAUUAGGUCAUAAGAGAACCUCAAUUGAUUAACUGCGCGAGCCUUAAACAGAGCAGAGUGCACAUAAACAUUUUAUUGGAUAAACAGUUUUCAUAACAUUAAAUAAAUAAUUUGCAUUUCAUUGAAAUAUUUAGAGCUUAAUAACUCAAUCAUACUUUGUACAUUUGGAAAGUAAUGCCCACCUGGAUAGGCAAAGCCUGAAGAUCAUACACAUAAAAACCUGUCUUGGGAAAACAGCGCUAAUCCCCCUGGUCACAAAGCCUACAAAAAUUCUAUUCUUAAUAGGUCUCUUGAAGCUAAUCUUAAGUCAUGGUGUAGUGCUUAUUAUUCUAUGAUUCACUUAGCCGGGUUUUCAAAAUUUAAUGAAUAAAUAAUUGAAAACAUUUCUCUUGAGUUAAGAACACC
rnacentral:lncRNA from 1 species